AGGUAGAAUUUACAUCUCCAUAGAUCAAAAGGGGGUAUAAUAAAGUUUUAGAGGCUACGAAGGUCUGGAAUUAAACCAGGAUUAGAGACCCUGUUAUACCAGCUUUAGAAAACUUUACUUGGGUAGUAAUCAGGUAAGACCUUGAAAUCUAAAGAAUUUGGCGGUAUUUUAGUCUAUUUAGAGGAACCUGUUCUAUAAGCGAUACUCCACGUAAUAUCUUACUUUAUUUUGUUUUCAGUUUGUAUACCGCCAUAAUUUGGCUUUAUUACGAAAUAUAUUCCAUAAUAAAGAACUUUUAGUACAUUAGGUCAAGGUGCAGCUUAUAAUAAAGUAGUCAAUGGGUUACAAUAUAUUUUAUAUAGACGAAAGGAAAGAUUAGCUACUUUUUGGAAGGUGGAUUUAAUAGUAUUGUGAGUUUAACACGCUCAAGAGAAGCCGCUCUAAAAUAUGUACACAUCGCCCGUCGCUCUCAUUUUACAAGGUGAGAUA
rnacentral:rRNA from 1 species